rnacentral:misc_RNA from 1 species
GUGUUUGUUAGACUGCACAGUGCAGUAUAGACAUUCGUUGACGUUGUAGAUGUCACAGUUCACGGUGUAAGGAGGGCGGUAACCAUCGCUGGCCACAAAUUCAAUAAUGAUCCUUCCGCAGGUUCACCUACGGAAA